rnacentral:rRNA from 1 species
GACGAACGCUGGCGGCGUGCUUAACACAUGCAAGUCGAACGGAAAGGCCCUGCUUUUGUGGGGUGCUCGAGUGGCGAACGGGUGAGUAACACGUGAGUAACCUGCCCUUGACUUUGGGAUAACUUCAGGAAACCGGGGCUAAUACCGGAUAGGAGCUCCUGCUGCAGGGUGGGGGUUGGAAAGUUUCGGCGGUUGGGGCUGGACUCGCGGCUUAUCAGCUUGUUGGUGGGGUAGUGGCUUACCAAGGCUUUGACGGGUAGCCGGCCUGAGAGGGGGACCGGCGACAUUGGGACUGAGAGACGGACCAGUGGCGUACGGGAGGCAGCGGUGGGGAGUAUGGCACAGUGGUGGGGAGUGUGAGGAGGCAACGUUGGGUGCGGGAAGACGGCCUUCGGGGUGUAAACCGCUUUCGCCUGUGACGAAGCGGGAGUGACGGUAAUGGGUAAAGAAGCACCGGCUAACUACGUG